GGUGUGUGAGAGAUUCUUCCUUCUCAGAGUCGUAAUUGGGUUGAUGAUCUACAUGAUGGUGAUGGACCAGGACAGCUCCGGACCCCCUGACUGGCAGCUCCAUCCUCAACCUGCCUUCUUGCCCUUCACACAUGUGCAGAUGAAAGCAGUCGUUCCUGUUCAGCAUUGAUGUGCCCGUAAUGGGUCUGAUGAGCCACAUGAUGAUGGUGAUGGACAAACGGCAUCAGGACCAGGACGGCUCCAUGCCUCACGAGGACAACCUUGUGUCCUGCCUCUCCAUCCUCAACCUCGCAUCUUCCCGCUCUUCACACAUGUGCAGACACAGAGACAGUUUUCAGUGGGAGCGCUGAUGACACCAGCAACUUUGGAUCUGAACCUGAUCAACCCAGCACCAACCACUGUGCCUCUCCUCCUCAGCCAACUGCACCACAUGACUCCACCAUAUCCAAAAGGUGCAGACACCACUCCACUUCCUGCGAAGGAUGAGAAGAGCCGACCUCCCCACAUCUGCACUCACCACUUUCUACAGGGGUGCCUUUUGAGAGCAUCCUGAGAGCAGCUUCUCUGUCUGGCAUGGCAGCCGUCUAGCUGAAGACUACAAGGCGCUACAUAGGGUGGUGAGGACGGCAGAAAAGAUCAUAAGAUCACCCCUACCAGCCAUUCAGGACCUGUACACUUCACACUGUUCCAAGAGGGCAGUCAACAUCAUCACAGAAACACCUCACCCACCACACAGACUGUUCUCCCUUCUACCAUCAGGGAAGCGCUACCACAGCAUGCAGUGCCGCACGAGCAUACCGAAAAAAAUAACUUCUUUUCACAAGCCAUCAGACUCCUCAACACAGAAGAACACCACACAGACAGAGAUCAAAUUAUGUACUUUGAUUACCACAAUCACCCCUAUUAGGAUAUUUUUGCACUUAUGAGGAUACUUUUGCUUGUGGGCUCCUAUUGGUUGUAGUCAUUAUUGGUUUAUUUAUUUGUGCUUGUACUCAUUUUAUCACACCAAAACUGGAAAAUAUUGUUGGUCAUUAGAAUCCAUAUUGACUGACCACUGAAAGGCACCUUCUCAAAAACCUUGCUCAUUGUUGGUGUGCUUCUGUGCAUUUCUCAUCCUCUCCCCUCCCCACCCCCCUCCCUCUUUUGCAGAUGGGAGAUAGAUACUUGUACUGAAUGUGUGCUAUAACAUUUACUCCACUACUCCACUGAUAUGUUCAUUCUGUUUCAAGUUUGCAUAUAUGUGAAUUGUAUAAGCCUUGCUUGUAGUAUUAUGUGUAUGCUGUUAGGCACCUAUAUUUCUAUUGGGAUCAGCAAAGGGACUCUAGUAUCUUGUAUCAACGGGCACAAGGUAAUGAAUGCUGUUUUAGCUGGGAUGAGCACAACACCUAAAUGAGAGAUGUUUGUAUGUGUACCUGCAGAUUAGGGGGAGGGUAGACUGUUGAUGGGGCAGAGGUAAUGACUGUUGAGAAGGACUUGUAAUACCGUGGU